GAUCCUGGCUCAGGAUGAACGCUAGCUACAGGCUUAAUACAUGCAAGUCGAGGGGCAGCAUUUUAGUUUGCUUGCAAACUAAAGAUGGCGACCGGCGCACGGGUGAGUAACACGUAUCCAACCUGCCGAUAACUCAGGGAUAGCCUUUCGAAAGAAAGAUUAAUACCUGAUGGCAUAGGAUUAUCGCAUGAUAAUCCUAUUAAAGAAUUUCGGUUAUCGAUGUGGAUGCGUUCCA
rnacentral:rRNA from 1 species